GCGGCCAUUUUGGGAAGGCCUCACUCCCUCUUCCCUCUUGAGAGCCACCAUCGUGGUGCGGGCCUGGCAGGUCCGAACCAGCAGAGAUUCUACAUUUGCCGAUGGGGAAGGUGGUGAAAUAAAGAUACUUGUCACCUACCUUAGUCAAAAGGAUGUUGUGAGGACUAAUGAGAAUGAAUAGAAUGUAACCUGAACUACUUGGGAAAAAUAAACCCGGAUUAUGAUUCUAUUAUUCAUCAAGCUGUGUGGAUAUUGAGCAGAGUUUAAACUUUGCACACCUGGCUCCAAACCAUGUAGUUUUUUCCCUAAAUAUAUUCUGAAUUUCUCUGUAAAAUAAAUGGAUUAUGAAAAUAUGACCAUUU